CUGCGAGCAAAGAACCAUGUAUCUUAUAUUACCACUUUAUUUCUACAGACAAUUGUACUAGUUCAAAUUUCAACAAUUUACGAGUAGAGUUUGGUUUGGGACACUGAUUGUAGUGUAUUUCUACUGACAAUGUCGACAGUUGGCUUUUCUUUUAUUGUCAUUAAAACAUAUUGAAUAUAUACACAUUUUUAUGUAAUUUUUUUGUAGAUCGCAUCGAAACAACGCGUUUUUAUCGGCAAUUAAUUUGUUUUGUGUGUUUUAUUGUUAAAAAGGUGAUUAUUUAUUAAAUAUAUAAACAAAAUGAGUAAAAGAAAUUAUAAAAGAUUAAUUAAAAAACAAAAAAUAUUGUAUAAAAACAGAAGUUUGCAAUGUGAACAAGAAAAUAGUGAAAGUGAAUUUGUGUCAAACGGUGGAGAUUUUAUAAAUGAUUUCGUGGAAAAUGGAAUGGAAGAUUUUGCAGUUCCGAAAUUAAUGUUGCGGGACAAACUUAAAAAGUGGUGCAUGGAAACGAAUCCUUCAAAGAAAUGUUUGGAAAGUCUUUUAUCAAUAUUAAAGGAAGAAGGUCUAGAUGUUCCGCUCACUAGAGAGACUUUGGUGGGCAGAGCAAAAAAUAUGUUAACGAGAAAUGUUGCCCCUGGAAUUUAUUGUCAUAUUGGCAUAGAAACACAACUACGAAAAGUUGGUCACAUUUUGGAAAAGUAUGAGGAAGUCGAACUAGAUAUAAAUAUCGAUGGAAUUCCACUGUUCAAAAGCUCUCGUGUGCAAUUGUGGCCAAUCCUUUGCAGAAUCGUUAAUAUUCAGGAGAAAACAAAACCGUUUGUUGUUGGAUUAUACUUGGGAAACACCAAGCCGGGUAGUGUGAAUGUGUAUUUGAAAGACUUCAUUGAUGAAGUGAUUCUACUAAAAGGUCAGUUUAUCAUACAACAAAAACAUUUAAAAUUGAAGUUUCGUUGCUUAAUAUGUGACGCACCAGCAAAAGCUUUCGUUUGUGGAGUUCCUGGACAUACAUCAACACAUGGCUGCACCAAGUGUACUCAAAUUGCGAAGAAGGUAAACAAUGUCUUGACUUAUAGUAGCGAGAGUGGUUCCCUAAUCUCCGAUGAGGACUUUGCUGUGCGAAAGUAUCCAUGCCACCAUUCCCAAAUGUUCAAAGAAGAAAAAACUCCUCUCGAAGAAAUUGGAUUUGGUAUGAUAAAUCAGACUCCUUUAGAUAGCAUGCAUCUCAUUGACCUCGGAGUCACCAAAAAAAUGCUAACCAGAAUAAUGCAUAAUAAAACUGAAAAGAAAACCUCAAAACAAAAUAUUUCAAAAAUAUCUUCUGAAUUGGUGAAAUUUAAAAAAUACAUUCCAAGGGAAUUCCCAAGAAAACCCAGGCCUUUAGAUGAUCUUUGUCAUUGGAAAGCGACUGAAUUUCACCAGUUCCUUGCUUAUACAGGAAUUAUUGCUCUUUAUAAUAAUGUACACGAAGAUAUUUAUUAUGAAUUUUUAACUUUACAUUGUGCUUAUCGACUUCUUAACAAUGCACGACAUAUGGAUCAAAAUAUUGUUCAAGCUAAUAAUUUGCUUCAAUUAUUUGUCGAGAACUUCUCAACUGUAUUUGGUUCGAACAGCAUUUCUUUUAACGUUCAUAAUCUGCUUCAUUUGGCUUCUUGCGCAGAAAAGUAUGGUCCCCUUAUUUCGUUUUCUGCAUAUGCAUUUGAAAAUAAACUGCAAACACUGAAAAAACAUGUUCGAAAACCAUCACAUAUCUUUCAACAAAUUAUUCAAAAGGAAAAAAAUUGCAUGAUUGUCAACACUAUUCAGGAUGGGUUAAAAUAUGAAAAAGGUGUUAUCGUUGGAGCUUUUGUAAAUGAUUGCUACAUAUCCUGCAAAGAACCAGAUAAUAUUUGCGCGGUGAAUUCAUGCAUUCCAAUAAAAAUUGAUAAUAUAAAGAAAAAGGGCGAAAUAUAUAUUGAAGGCAGUCGAAUUUUGGCAUUAGAAAGUUUCUACGAAGAACCGGUGAAUUCUUGUGAGAUUGGUAUUUUCAAAACGAAUCUGACUCUAGGGGAAAAAGAGACAUUUUGUAUUAAAGACAUUCAGUUCAAAUUUGUAUGCUUGCCAAUUGAUUCUGAUUUUGUAAUCGUGCCCAUUUUACAUUCCUGCUUUCCAGAGAAAUAUCAAGCACAAAUUUUUACCUCCUAAGUACACAACUCCCGCACAUAAACAUGUCGAACGAAAAUGCCAACCCUUCCAAAGGAAAAAUGAAAUAUUUUGCUCCACAAGCUAAUGCAAAAUGUUCUUCCUGCCAAGAAAAUGCCAGAAAACUAGACACGAUUAUUGAUAUUUUGGCGGAGCAUAAAGUUUUACUGGAUCGUGUUAUUUCUCAGAACGCAUUUGUGGACAAUAUUAUGACAAUUUUUCCAAUUGAAUCGGAAGAAAAACUUCGAGAAUUUGAUCGAAUUCUCGCAACACAAGCAGAUCUAUAUGUACGUAUCUGCGUUUUGGGAAUAACAAAUUCAUAACUAAAACAAUUUUUACAAUUGCAGACUCGACAAAUGAAAAAUCUCAUUGCAGGUAACGCUGAACGUAAUUUGCAUAAAGUAUUUGGAAGAAAUAUUAUUAUGGAUUUUAAUGUUGACGGAACUUUCGGGAAAAAAGGUCUACGAGAUUUUGGUAAUGUACUUGCCGCCAUAAUAGGUAAAACGUGUUUGUUUUUGUUUCAAAUAAGUAAUGCUAAAAUAUAGUUUAUAAAACAGAAGUUAUAUCAACAUUUAAUAAAUUACCUGACAAGACUUUACGAGCAGCGUUCCAACGCCAAAAGAAAAAGUAUUUUAAGAUCAACAAACGAAGCAGGCGCACCGAAGAAAAGGAACAAGAUGAAAAUGAUGAAGAACCACAAAUUUAACUGAAUGUUUUUAUGUUAUACUAUAUAAUUUUAAAAUCCUAGUUCUAACUCUAUUCAGUUUUAUUAAAAAUAAGACAAGGUUUGGCCAGCCUUGAAAAAAGUGAGCUAUAUAUGUAAUCCAUUUCUUAAUUUAUUACCUUGCCUAAAAUUCGCAGACUGUUUUAGAUUAAUUAAAUAUAUUGUGUGUAGAUUGAACUGUGCUUUACUUUUGUUUUUGUUACUUAAUAACUGCGUUAAAAAUGUAACGUUGUUAAAUACUUAUUCUAUUACAAGCAUUUUCCUAAAAAUCUCAAAUGACUAUUUGGUUCGAAUGCCUCCAUAUGAUCUCGAAAGGACUAAUGGUCUUCUAGUGUUUAUUUGGUUCAAAUGUCUACAUAUAGCUCAGGAUACCCAAUAAAAUGCAGUGAUUAUUUGGUUCAAACGUCACCAUAUAAACUUAAAAGAUCUAAUCUUUUUCUAGUGAUUAUUUGGUUCAAAUGUCUACAUAUAGCUCAGGAAACCCAAUAUAAUGUAGUGAUUAUUUGGUAUACACGUCAUCACAUAAUCUCAAAAGAUAUAAUCUUUUUCUAGUGACUAUUUGGUUCAAAUGUCACCAUAUAGUCCCAAAAGAACUACUUAGUCAAUAUAGUCAAGGUCUACUGGUACUUCUCCUAUGACAAGCCUAUGUUAAAUGUCCAUAGGAAAUUACAUUGGUUGUGGUAUACUUUUUCACUAGUACUAGCGACAAUGUCACCAGUAAAACACUACAAUUUUACUAAAGCUGCUCGCUGC